rnacentral:ncRNA from 2 species
CUCGACAUCGGGGGGAGCCCGCGGCGCGGGCUGAGAGGCAGGGAUGGGCCCUGCGACCCCUAGAACCUGAUCCGGGUCAUGCCGGCGAAGGGAUCGGUGGUGGGCAUGCGG